UACGAGUGUUAGUUACUGUGUUUGUUACUGAAUAGAAGAAUUGAUAGUUUACUGUGAUGAUGAACGCAAUAAUUAGACGAUUAGAUGUCCACAAUAUGCAUUUUUAAUUUGUAACACGUAUAUUACAAUCAAACAGUGUGAGGUCAGACUGAGUCGGGUCGGUGUCUAACGCGUCGUAGGUUCUGAAGUUCGUUGAGAACGGCUGGACGGAGCCUGGAACGUUUCCUCCUCCGGCUCUCACAUCAUCAUCUAUAAACACAGAUAUCAGUAUUUAUUAUUUUAUGCACAUCACAUAUACAUUCACAUGCAAGAGCUGAACACGAGUUCAUUAAUAAUACAUUUUUCAGGUUUGCAGAUCACUGUAUUGUCAUAUUUAAAUGUUGGUGUUGAGCGAGUGUAUGUAUUCAGCUGUGAUUCAUUAUAAAUGAGUGUUAAAAAUGAAGGUAGUAAAUGAAGGAUUGUGCGUGGUGACAGACAGCGUUAGUGUAGUGGGGUGUGUGUCGUGGUUAAAACGUCACCCUUAUUAACCACGUGGCCAAUGGGCGCUCUCCCUACCACAGUAUAUAAGUGGUUGUUUACGCCUCUCAGAAUGUGUCAUGGUCGAAAAGCCCGCCCCUUCCUUUCGUUGCUAUGGACUACAGAGGAGCAAAAUGGAGCCUGAUGCAAAUUCUCCCACACGCUGAAGUGCACGUCGGCUCUAACCGUGUCUGAUGCUGUGGAACUUCAGUGCCUAAAGUGAAUACAGUCA
ensembl:lncRNA